rnacentral:rRNA from 1 species
CUGCGAAUACCGGAGAAUGUUAUCACGGGAGACACACGGCGGGUGCUAACGUCCGUCGUGAAGAGGGAAACAACCCAGACCGCCAGCUAAGGUCCCAAAGUCAUGGUUAAGUGGGAAACGAUGUGGGAAGGCACAGACAGCCAGGAUGUUGGCUUAGAAGCAGCCAUCAUUUAAAGAAAGCGUAAUAGCUCACUGGUCGAGUCGGCCUGCGCGGAAGAUGUAACGGGGCUAAACCAUGCACCGAAGCUGCGGCAGCGACGUUUAUGCGUUGUUGGGUAGGGGAGCGUUCUGUAAGCCUGCGAAGGUGGCCUGUGAGGGUUGCUGGAGGUAUCAGAAGUGCGAAUGCUGACAUAAGUAACGAUAAAGCGGGUGAAAAGCCCGCUCGCCGGAAGACCAAGGGUUCCUGUCCAACGUUAAUCGGGGCAGGGUGAGUCGACCCCUAAGGCGAGGCCGAAAGGCGUAGUCGAUGGGAAACGGGUUAAUAUUCCCGUACUUGGUGUUACUGCGAAGGGGGGACGGAGAAGGCUAUGUUGGCCGGGCGACGGUUGUCCCGGUUUAAGCGUGUAGGCUGGUUUUCCAGGCAAAUCCGGAAAAUCAAGGCUGAGGCGUGACGACGAGGCACUACGGUGCUGAAGCAACAAAUGCCCUGCUUCCAGGAAAAGCCUCUAAGCAUCAGGUAACAUCAAAUCGUACCCCAAACCGACACAGGUGGUCAGGUAGAGAAUACCAAGGCGCUUGAGAGAACUCGGGUGAAGGAACUAGGCAAAAUGGUGCCGUAACUUCGGGAGAAGG